rnacentral:rRNA from 1 species
GACGAACGCUGGCGGCGUGCUUAACACAUGCAAGUCGAACGGUAACAGGCCUUCGGGUGCUGACGAGUGGCGAACGGGUGAGUAAUGCAUCGGAACGUACCCAGAGGUGGGGGAUAACGCAGCGAAAGCUGUGCUAAUACCGCAUGUGAUCUGAGGAUGAAAGCGGGGGACCGAGCAGCAAUGUUUGGCCUCGCGCCUUUGGAGCGGCCGAUGUCGGAUUAGCUAGUUGGUGGGGUAAAGGCCUACCAAGGCGACGAUCCGUAGCUGGUCUGAGAGGACGACCAGCCACACUGGGACUGAGACACGGCCCAGACUCCUACGGGAGGCAGCAGUGGGGAAUUUUGGACAAUGGGCGCAAGCCUGAUCCAGCAAUGCCGCGUGCGGGAAGAAGGCCUUCGGGUUGUAAACCGCUUUUGGCAGGAACGAAACGGUGUCCGCUAAUACCGGGCGCUAAUGACGGUACCUGCAGAAUAAGCACCGGCUAACUACGUG